rnacentral:rRNA from 1 species
GUAAUGGCUCACCAAGGCUAUGACGCCUAUCUGGUCUGAGAGGAUGAUCAGACACACUGGAACUGAGACACGGUCCAGACUCCUACGGGAGGCAGCAGUGGGGAAUAUUACACAAUGGAGGAAACUCUGAUGUAGCAACGCCGCGUGGAGGAUGACACACUUCGGUGCGUAAACUCCUUUUAUGUGAGAAGAUAAUGACGGUAUCACAUGAAUAAGCACCGGCUAACUCCGUGCCAGCAGCCGCGGUAAUACGGAGGGUGCAAGCGUUACUCGGAAUCACUGGGCGUAAAGCGCGCGCAGGCGGCUUUGUAAGUUGGAUGUGAAAUCCUAUGGCUCAACCAUAGAACUGCAUCCAAAACUACUUAGCUAGAGUCUGGGAGGGGAAGAUGGAAUUAGUGGUGUAGGGGUAAAAUCCGUAGAGAUCACUAGGAAUACCAAAAGCGAAGGCGAUCUUCUGGAACAGUACUGACGCUGAGGCGCGAAAGCGUGGGGAGCAAACAGGAUUAGAUACCCUGGUAGUCCACGCCCUAAACGAUGAAUGUUAGUCGUCGGGAGGCUUGUCCUUUUGGUGAUGCAGCUAACGCAUUAAACAUUCCGCCUGGGGAGUACGGUCGCAAGAUUAAAACUCAAAGGAAUAGACGGGGACCCGCACAAGUGGUGGAGCAUGUGGUUUAAUUCGAAGAUACGCGAAGAACCUUACCUGGCCUUGACAUUGAUAGAAUCUGCUAGAGAUAGCGGAGUGCCCUUCGGGGAGCUUGAAAACAGGUGCUGCACGGCUGUCGUCAGCUCGUGUCGUGAGAUGUUGGGUUAAGUCCCGCAACGAGCGCAACCCUCGUCACUAGUUACUAACGGUUCGGCCGAGGACUCUAGUGAGACUGCCUUCGCAAGGAGGAGGAAGGUGAGGACGACGUCAAGUCAUCAUGGCCCUUACGGCCAGGGCGACACACGUGCUACAAUGGGAUGUACAAUGAGACGCAAUACCGCGAGGUGGAGCAAAUCUAUAAAGCAUCUCUCAGUUCGGA